UACGAAGGGGGCUAGCGUUGUUCGGAAUUACUGGGCGUAAAGCGCACGUAGGCGGAUCGAUCAGUCAGGGGUGAAAUCCCAGGGCUCAACCCUGGAACUGCCUUUGAUACUGUCGAUCUGGAGUAUGGAAGAGGUGAGUGGAAUUCCGAGUGUAGAGGUGAAAUUCGUAGAUAUUCGCAAGAACACCAGUGGCGAAGGCGGCUCACUGGCCCGAUACUGACGCUGAGGUGCGAAAGCGUGGGGAGCGAACAGG
rnacentral:rRNA from 1 species